rnacentral:rRNA from 1 species
CAGCAGCCGCGGUAAUACGGAGGGUGCAAGCGUUAAUCGGAAUUACUGGGCGUAAAGCGCACGCAGGCGGUCUGACAAGUCAGAUGUGAAAUCCCCGGGCUUAACCUGGGAACUGCAUUUGAAACUGUCAGGCUGGAGUCUUGUAGAGGGGGGUAGAAUUCCAGGUGUAGCGGUGAAAUGCGUAGAGAUCUGGAGGAAUACCGGUGGCGAAGGCGGCCCCCUGGACAAAGACUGACGCUCAGGUGCGAAAGCGUAAGGAGCAAACAGGAUUAGAUACCCGGGUAGUCCCUGUCUCUUAUAC